rnacentral:misc_RNA from 1 species
AAAUCUCAACUUCCUUUGUUCCUUUCGAGGACCAAAGGAGGCUUGGACUUUGGAGGUUUUUGCUGGCGUCUUUGAAGGCCAGCUCCUCUUAAAUGAAUUAGCGGGGUCCUCUUUGCCGAUCCUUGACAUGUGAUAAGAUGCUUCCGUGUCUUGGUUUCUGGCUCUGUUGCCUUUGGGACCCGCUUCUAAUCGUCUUGACCCUGCGUCGAGACAAUGUUCGAGCUCGUCUCCCUUCUCGGGAAACCCUCUCGACCCCACGAAC